GAUGAACGCUGGCGGCGUGCCUAAUACAUGCAAGUCGAGCGAACAGACGAGGAGCUUGCUCCUCUGACGUUAGCGGCGGACGGGUGAGUAACACGUGGAUAACCUACCUAUAAGACUGGGAUAAUUGCGGCAACCCGGAGUUAUUACCGGGUAAUAUUUUGAACUGCAUGGUUCAAUAAUGAAAGAUGGUUUUGCUGUCACUUCUAGAUGGAUCCGCGCCGCAUUAGCUAGUUGGUAAGGUAACGGCUUACCAAGGCAACGAUGCGUAGCCGACGUGAGAGGGUGAUCGGCCACACGGGAGCUGAGACGCGGUCCAGACUCCUACGGGAGGCAGCAGUAGGGAAUCUGCCGCAAUGGGCGAAAGCCUGACGGAGCAACGCCGCGUGAGUGAUGAAGGUCUUUGGAUCGUAAAACUCUGUUAUUAGUGAAGAACAAAUGUGUAAGUAACUAUGCACGUCUUGACGGUACCUAAUCAGAAAGCCACGGCUAACUACGUG
rnacentral:rRNA from 1 species